AUCAAACCUAUUAAAAGUUGACUUACUUGGUUUGGAUCUUUGGACUGUAGUAAUAUUCUCUCUCUCUCUCUCUCUCUCUCUCUCUCUCUGUGAAAAAUGAGCUCCUUGAUUGCAAAUGAAGAUUGCCUUGGAUGGGCAGCAAGAGAUGCAUCUGGCGUUUUAUCACCUUACAACUUCAACCGCAGGGCCGUAAGGAGUGAUGAUGUUUCAAUAAAAAUUACACACUGUGGAGUUUGUUAUGCUGAUGUAAUUUGGACCAGGAAUGGACUUGGGGAUUCAAAGUAUCCUUUGGUGCCUGGACAUGAGAUUGUUGGCAUUGUGCAAGAGGUUGGUUCUAAUGUUAACCGCUUCAAAGUUGGUGACCACGUUGGAGUAGGAACUUAUGUCAAUUCAUGUAGAGAUUGUGAGUACUGCAACGAUGAAGAAGAAGUUAAUUGCGUAAAAAGACGAGUUUCAACCUUUAAUGGGCUGGAUGAUGAUGGUACUAUUACAAAAGGAGGAUAUUCCAGCUAUAUUGUUGUUCAUGAUAGGUACUGCUUCAGGAUACCUGAUGACUAUCCAUUGGCUUCAGCAGCUCCUUUGCUUUGUGCUGGAAUCAACGUGUACAGUCCCAUGAUACGCCACAAGAUGAACCAACCUGGUAAAUCUCUGGGAGUGAUUGGACUUGGAGGUCUUGGUCACAUGGCAGUGAAGUUUGGGAAGGCGUUUGGGUUGAAUGUGACUGUUCUCAGCACUAGCAUAUCCAAGAAAGAGGAAGCUCUAACUUUGCUUGGUGCAGACAAAUUUGUGGUCUCAUCUGACCAAGAGCAGAUGAAGGCCGAGGCUAAGUCAUUAGACUUUAUAAUUGACACUGCAGCUGGUGAUCCCCAUUUGAUCCAUACAUGUCACUGUUGAAAACUGGUGGUGUUCUGGUCCUAGUGGGAUUCCCAAGUGAAGUCAAAUUCCAUCCUGCAAGCCUUAGCAUAGGAAUGAAAACCGUUUCUGGUAGCAAUACAGGUGGUACAAAGUCGACACGAGAAAUGAUAGACUUCUGUAGUGCUCAUAAAAAUUACCCAAACAUAGAAGUAAUUCCAAUUCACUAUGCAAAUGAAGCUCUUGAGAGGCUAAUAAAGAGAGACGUGAGGUAUCGGUUUGUGAUCAAUAUUGAGAACUCCCUGAAAUGAUACUGCUAAAGGCACAAGGAAAAUUCCUCUUCUCGAUAUUUAUGUUCAUAUUUUAGGUAGAUUGAAGGUAUUGGAUCAAAUGUUGAAACUCUGACAGGUUGUUGAGUGGUAUUGUGAGGUGGUUUCACUUGCAUACUAGCCUGAAAUAAGUGAAUGGGUUGUUGAGCAAUAUUGUGAGGAAUGGUUUAAUAAAAAUUAGAAGUGUGUACUUUUAAAUUGUGAACCCUUUUGUAUCAUAGUCUUGUUACCUGUGCUGUGCAAACGCUUGU